rnacentral:rRNA from 13 species
UUGGACGAGGGGCCCCUCUCGGGUUACCGAAUUCAGACAAACUCCGAAUGCCAAUUAAUUUAACUUGGGAGUCAGAACAUGGGUGAUAAGGUCCGUGUUCGAAAGGGAAACAGCCCAGACCACCAGCUAAGGUCCCAAAAUAUAUGUUAAGUGGAAAAGGAUGUGGCGUUGCUUAGACAACCAGGAUGUUGGCUUAGAAGCAGCCAUCAUUUAAAGAAAGCGUAACAGCUCACUGGUCUAAAUAAGGGUCUCCGCGCCGAAAAUGUACCGGGGCUCAAGCCAUACACCGAAACUGCGGGUGUGCACUUUAAGUGCAUGCGGUAGCGGAGCGUUCUGUAAGUCUGCGAAGGGAGACCCGCGAGGGCUCCUGGAGAUAUCAGAAGUGCGAAUGCUGACAUGAGUAGCGAUAAUGCGGGUGAAAAGCCCGCACGCC